rnacentral:rRNA from 1 species
CCUACGGGUGGCUGCAGUGGGGAAUAUUGGACAAUGGGCGAAAGCCUGAUCCAGCCAUGCCGCGUGUGUGAAGAAGGCCUUCGGGUUGUAAAGCACUUUCAGUGGGGAAGAAAGCCUUGGGGCUAAUACCCUCGAGGAAGGACAUCACCCACAGAAGAAGCACCGGCUAACUCCGUGCCAGCAGCCGCGGUAAUACGGAGGGUGCGAGCGUUAAUCGGAAUUACUGGGCGUAAAGCGCGCGUAGGCGGUCUGAUAAGCCGGGUGUGAAAGCCCCGGGCUCAACCUGGGAACGGCAUCCGGAACUGUCAGGCUAGAGUGCAGGAGAGGAAGGUAGAAUUCCCGGUGUAGCGGUGAAAUGCGUAGAGAUCUGGAGGAAUACCAGUGGCGAAGGCGGCCUUCUGGACUGACACUGACGCUGAGGUGCGAAAGCGUGGGUAGCAAACAGGAUUAGAUACCCGAGUAGUC